UUAUAUGGUUAUUCAUUGGAUUAUAUACACAAAUUGAGCUUAUCACAAAGAGAAUGGAUAAAUCCAUUGUACAGACAUUUAUGCGAACAAUUUCAUGAAAGUAUGAUAUUAAAAAAUGAUACAUGUGUGAAUGAUAGUGCUAAUUAUAAUAAUAAACAUCUUGAUAAGGCUAACCAUUACAUUCAAAAUUUUGACAAAAGUGCAUUUGUAAAUCGUUAUUUAAAAAAAAAAUUAGAAAAUAAACUGUAUAUACCUAACACCCUAAACGUAUUAGAUUAUAUAGUGAGCAUUCAUAAAAAUGAGUCAUCAGAGUUUAAUGUUAUAAUUGACGAAUGUAUAAAUGGAUAUUUAUGUUUACAAAAUGUGGAGCGUCCUUCGAAAAAAAUGAAUAUAGAUGAUGAAUGUGAUCUAAAAGAAAUUGAUAAAAUGUGUAGUAUCAUAAUAAAGCAACAGGCAUUGAUCAUUAAGGACGGUAGUAAUAAUAAUUAUGUUAGUAGUAGUAGUAGUAGUAGUAGUAGUAAUAGUAGUAGUAGUAGUAGUAGUAGUAUUAAUAGAAGUAGUAACAUAUGUAGCACUAGCAUUAAUGACAACAAUAACUCUGAUAAUGAUGAUGAUGAUGAUGUUGAUGAUGAGUGUAUAAUCGAUGAUUACUAUUAUAGUGAGCUUAAGAAGAUUAAAAAUGAAAUUUUAACAAAUGACUAUUUAAAAUUUUUAUAUUACUUUAACCCAUUGUUUUUUCCAUUAAAAAAUUUGCAUGUGAUAAGUAUUUUGAAUAUGAUGAAUUGGGAUCCAAAAAAAAAUGAAAAAAAAAUAUUAAGCGAAACAAUGAAUAGAAAUAUAAUUAAAAAUGAGUUAGAUGUAAUAUAUUUGCCUAUACAUAAAAUAAAUUUUAUGAACGAUACAUAUUCAUAUAUCGAUCACAGUAAUUCUGCGAAUACCUAUAACAGUCACACAUAUAAUACACAGAACACAAAUGAAUACAUUAAUAAGUAUUACAAUAGUAAUAAACAUAAUACGUCUAUACCGUAUACAAGUUGUGAUGAUUUUGAAACAGAUGAAGGAUGUCUACAUUGCUCUAAUAAAAAAAAUGUUUAUACUACUAAUUUAAGAUAUUUCGUAUCAUCAAACAUAAGUUAUAGUUCAUAUAAUAUAUUAUUGAAAAGUAUUUUGUGUGAAAAUGUAUAUAAUAUAAGCAAAUAUUCUUAUAAUUUGAGAAAUAAAAAAACUAAUAAAAUGAAUAAGUUACUUGAUAAAGAUGAAGAAUAUCUAAAACAACAAUAUAAACAACAACAAAAAAAACAGGGAAAAGAACAGGAACAAGAAAUAGAGAAAAUAGCGGCAAUGGUUUUAGAAAAAUCAGAUAUUUUAAAAAAAUUAGAAGAAUUGGGUGCGAACGCUAUAAGUGAUGUAAUAAUAGAAGAAGAUGCAGAACUAAUAAAAGCAAUAGAACUUUUAUAUGGGGAUUUGGAGGUAGAAAUGAAUAUAUUUAAACUUGCUAUAAGAAACAAUGAAUACACCAUAAGAGGCAUGUGGAGAGUUUUAAAGGAGAUUUCAAGCACAUUUGAAAAAAUGCAAUUUUUAUAUACAAGCUAUACCCUGAGUUAUUUAGAAAGAAAGAAUAUGAAUAUAAAUAAAAAGAUUAUCGAGAAAAUGAAAUUAAUGGAUGUGACAAAAGAUGAUAUAAGAAACAUUUUAGAACAUAUAACUGAAAAUAACACAGUGUAUAAACUAAAAAAUAAUUACUCCUUUACUAACUUUAUUAAAAAAUACCAAAAAAAUAUUAUAUCAUCAUAUGAUGAUAUUCGAAAAAUUAACAAACAUGCAAUACUUAGCAUGUGCAAGCUUACAUACAAUUACAUGAUAUAUUGUGAUUAUUAUAACCAUAUGUAUCUCCAUUACUUUAAUCGGUUUCAUAAUGAGAUAGACAGUUUGAUAAAUGAGGCAAACAUUUAUUUGGAACAGCUAAAUGGGGACCCGAUUAGGCAACGAGACUCGAGAAUGCACUCGGGAAAAAACAAUAAUUUUAAGGACUCACUAAUAAAUUAUUCGAUUAGUAAUAUAAAAACAUUGGAACGAGUACAAUUUAGUUGGCAACAAUUAAAAAAUGAUCAUGAGUCUUGUAUGCUGGAAAAUUUACAUAUGGGUGAAAAUUGGAACUUUGGUUCUUAUUUAUUUGACAUUUAUCAAGAUUUUAAUUUAUUUUAUGAGUUUUUUGUAUAUUUAAAAGAAAAUAAUAUAGGCUUACACGAUAACAGAAAAGAAGAUUUAUCUGCUAUUCAUAUUUCUUCUAUUGAUAAAGACGAAGCUGACUUUUUGUAUUAC
rnacentral:lncRNA from 1 species